GAUGAACGCUGGCGGCGUGCCUAAUACAUGCAAGUCGAGCGAACGGACGAGAAGCUUGCUUCUCUGAUGUUAGCGGCGGACGGGUGAGUAACACGUGGAUAACCUACCUAUAAGACUGGGAUAACUUCGGGAAACCGUAGCUAAUACCGGAUAAUAUUUUGAACCGCAUGGUUCAAAAGUGAAAGACGGUCUUGCUGUCACUUAUAGAUGGAUCCGCGCUGCAUUAGCUAGUUGGUAAGGUAACGGCUUACCAAGGCAACGAUGCAUAGCCGACCUGAGAGGGUGUUCGGCCACACUGGAACUGAGACACGGUCCAGACUCCUACGGGAGGCAGCGGUAGGUAAUCUUCCGAAAUGGGCGAAAGCCUGACGGAGCAACGCCGCGUGAGUGAUGAAGGUCUUCGGGUCGUAAAACUCUGUUAUUAGGGAAGAACAUAUGUGUAAGUAACUGUGCACAUCUUGACGGUACCUAAUCAGAAAGCCACGGCAAACUACGU
rnacentral:rRNA from 1 species